rnacentral:tRNA from 1 species
AGGAACUUAAGUUAUAUUGCAAACUAGAGGCCUUCAAAGCCCCCAAAAAAAAGACCAUUUUAGUUCCUG